ACGAACGCUGGCGGCACGCUUAACACAUGCAAGUCGAACGAGAGAAGAGAAGCUUGCUUUUCUGAUCUAGUGGCGGACGGGUGAGUAACACGUGAGCAAUCUGCCUUUCAGAGGGGGAUACCGAUUGGAAACGAUCGUUAAUACCGCAUAACAUAAUUGAACCGCAUGAUUUGAUUAUCAAAGAUUUAUCGCUGAAAGAUGAGCUCGCGUCUGAUUAGCUAGUUGGUAAGGUAACGGCUUACCAAGGCGACGAUCAGUAGCCGGACUGAGAGGUUGAUCGGCCACAUUGGGACUGAGACACGGCCCAGACUCCUACGGGAGGCAGCAGUGGGGAAUAUUGCACAAUGGAGGAAACUCUGAUGCAGCGAUGCCGCGUGAGGGAAGAAGGUUUUAGGAUUGUAAACCUCUGUCUUCAGGGACGAAAAAAGACGGUACCUGAGGAGGAAGCUCCGGCUAACUACGUGCCAGCAGCCGCGGUAAUACGUAGGGAGCGAGCGUUGUCCGGAAUUACUGGGUGUAAAGGGAGCGUAGGCGGGAUCGCAAGUCAGAUGUGAAAACUAUGGGCUUAACCCAUAAACUGCAUUUGAAACUGUGGUUCUUGAGUGAAGUAGAGGUAAGCGGAAUUCCUAGUGUAGCGGUGAAAUGCGUAGAUAUUAGGAGGAACAUCAGUGGCGAAGGCGGCUUACUGGGCUUUAACUGACGCUGAGGCUCGAAAGCGUGGGGAGCAAACAGGAUUAGAUACCCUGGUAGUCCACGCCGUAAACGAUGAUUACUAGGUGUGGGGGGACUGACCCCUUCCGUGCCGCAGCAAACGCAAUAAGUAAUCCACCUGGGGAGUACGACCGCAAGGUUGAAACUCAAAGGAAUUGACGGGGGCCCGCACAAGCAGUGGAGUAUGUGGAUUAAUUCGAAGCAACGCGAAGAACCUUACCAGGUCUUGACAUCAUAUGCAUAGCUCAGAGAUGAGUGAAAUCUCUUCGGAGACAUAUAGACAGGUGGUGCAUGGUUGUCGUCAGCUCGUGUCGUGAGAUGUUGGGUUAAGUCCCGCAACGAGCGCAACCCUUACUGUUAGUUGCUACGCAAGAGCACUCUAGCAGGACUGCCGUUGACAAAACGGAGGAAGGUGGGGAUGACGUCAAAUCAUCAUGCCCCUUAUGACCUGGGCCUCACACGUACUACAAUGGCUGUCAACAGAGGGAAGCAAAGCCGCGAGGUGGAGCAAACCCCUAAAAGCAGUCUUAGUUCGGAUUGUAGGCUGCAACCCGCCUACAUGAAGUCGGAAUUGCUAGUAAUCGCAGAUCAGCAUGCUGCGGUGAAUACGUUCCCGGGCCUUGUACACACCGCCCGUCACGCCAUGGGAGUCGGUAACACCCGAAGCCUGUAGUCUAACCGCAAGGAGGACGCAGUCGAAGGUGGGAUUGAUGACUGGGGUG
rnacentral:rRNA from 1 species